rnacentral:tRNA from 1 species
GCCUCAGUAGCUUAGCCCGGUAGAGCAUGUGACUGUUAAUCACAGGGUCGAAAGUUCAAAUCUUUCCUGAGGCG